CCUUGAUCUCCGUACUUUGCUGUGAAGUAAAAUGCGGGGAUUAGUAGGAAACGUCUUAGAAUCGCAAUCAACAGACCCUUCCUAGACUCCAACUUGAGGCAGUUGAUGAGAGAGAAUUCAAGGUUUGUAAAUCUAAUUCUCAAGAGUAUCUACCAUGAACCCAAUUGGUGUUCUCCAGUAUUUUCAUACAAGAAGCCAGGAAAGAUUGACAAUGUGAGAACAUAUAUCAGAAACACGCCAAAAAGAUAGUCUGCGUUCUUCCGAAAUAAUUGCUUUUUGCCGAGUAGUUCGGUUUUGUCCUACGGAGAUCAAAAAACAACUUUAUCAAUCAGAAUCAAAAUUUUCUUUUGCUAAUAUAAUUGAAAGAACAUAGUGAAUGUUGUCAUACUUCUUGGUUUGAUUGAAUUUGGAUGCCUGCAGCAGCAAAUGAGAAUUCACAAUGAA